rnacentral:rRNA from 1 species
UCGUGGAAUAGUCUGUCUGGUUAAUUCCGAUAACGAGCGAGACCUCAGCCUGCUAAUUAGAUGGUGGAAUUUCGAUUCUUAUCGUCUUCUUAGAGGGACUAUCGGUUUUCAGCCGAAGGGAGUUUGAGGCAACAACA